UAAAGUAUAACAUAAGCAAUGUGUUUCAUUUACACUGAUAAUAUGGAUAACUGAUCCUACUUUAA
rnacentral:tRNA from 1 species